rnacentral:lncRNA from 1 species
AUCCCCACAAGAGGCCUGUGAAUAAACUAGUGGUAAGGCCAGAUCAACAUAUUCUCCUGAAAUGUUUUAACUUAUCGACAUUUCUUUCAAGCUCAUCAUUGUCCUUACUACACGGAGAUGGGUUUUGAAAAACUGGAAAAUUACCUGAUUAUCAUCAGCAGAACUAGAAGUAGCGGUCGUGAAUACCGGAGCCAUAGUCAUAGACAUA